AACGCACGAGACCUGCGGACCUGCGGAGGGAUCAUUAAAAAGAUUUGGCUUUAUAUUAUUGAAGCUAUUCAUCUGAACUUGUGGUAAUAAUGAACUAUUUGAAUUGGGCUUAAUAAUGGUACUUUCGCAAGGGAGUUAUCGGCCCAAAACAAUUUAUAAACGCUUCUUUUAUUUGACUGAAUUAUCAAGUAAUAAUCCAAUGCGGAUUAAAAAAGUUUUAAAUAACUUUCAACAAUGGAU
rnacentral:misc_RNA from 1 species